CUACGGGUCGCUGCAGUGAGGAAUAUUGCACAAUGGGGGGAACCCUGAUGCAGCAACGCCGCGUGGGGGAUGACGCAUUUCGGUGUGUAAACUCCUUUUAUAUGUCAAGAAAAUGACGGUAGCAUAUGAAUAAGCACCGGCUGACUCCGUGCCAGCAGCCGCGGUAAUACGGAGGGUGCAAGCGUUACUCGGAAUCACUGGGCGUAAAGGACGCGUAGGCGGGUUGGAAAGUCAGGUGUGAAAUCCUACAGCUUAACUGUAGAACUGCACUUGAAACUUCUAAUCUAGAGUAUGGGAGGGGGGGAUGGAAUUAGUGGUGUAGGGGUAAAAUCCGUAGAUAUCACUAGGAAUACCUAAAGCGAAGGCGAUCUCCUGGAACAUUACUGACGCUAAGGCGUGAAAGCGUGGGGAGCAAACAGGAUUAGAUACCCCCGUAGUC
rnacentral:rRNA from 1 species